rnacentral:rRNA from 1 species
UACGGAAGGCAGCAGUGGGGAAUAUUGCACAAUGGGCGCAAGCCUGAUGCAGCCAUGCCGCGUGUAUGAAGAAGGCCUUCGGGUUGUAAAGUACUUUCAGUCGUGAGGAAGGUGUUAAGGUUAAUAACCUUAGCAAUUGACGUUAGCGACAGAAGAAGCACCGGCUAACUCCGUGCCAGCAGCCGCGGUAAUACGGAGGGUGCGAGCGUUAAUCGGAAUUACUGGGCGUAAAGGGCACGCAGGCGGUUAAUUAAGUUGGAUGUGAAAUCCCCGGGCUUACCUGGGAAUGGCAUUCAAGACUGGUUAGCUAGAGUCUUGUAGAGGGGGUAGAAUUCCAUGUGUAGCGGUGAAAUGCGUAGAGAUGUGGAGGAAUACCGGUGGCGAAGGCGGCCCCUGGACAAAGGACUGACGCUCAUGUGCGAAAGCGUGGGGAGCAAAC